rnacentral:SRP_RNA from 1 species
CGAUGGACCUUAGGCGGGGGGAUAGGGGCCCCUUGAACCGUAAACCCUCUAUAUGACGGGCUAACAGCUGAGGCUGAGGCGUCAAAGGCUAUUGAGAUCUUCCUUUCCGAAACAGUGACUAUCCGUCUCUUGUGGCUGGCGGUCAAUGAGGAACUUCCGUAGGGAAGUUAAUUUCAUUGUUCAUCAGACGAAUCUGGCCAGGCUCGGGAGAGAGCAACCUAAGUUUGGGCGUUCAGCGCUCAAGGGGGUGCGGAUAAGAGCGUAGGGUUUGAGGAUUCUCGAUGGAUUCUGGGCGUCAAACCACAGUGGUCCAUCG